GAUGAACGCUGGCGGCGUGCCUAAUACAUGCAAGUCGAGCGAACGGACGAGAAGCUUGCUUGUCUGAUGUUAGCGGCGGACGGGUGAGUAACACGUGGAUAACCUACCUAUAAGACUGGGAUAACUUCGUGAAACCGGAGCUAAUACCGGAUAAUAUUUUGAACCGCAUGGUUCAAAAGUGAAAGACGGUCUUGCUGUCACUUAUAGAUGGAUCCGCGUGGCAUUAGCUAGUUGGUAAGGUAACGGCUUACCAAGGCAACGAUGCAUAGCCGACCUGAGAGGGUGAUCAGCCACACUGGAACUGAGACACGGUCCAGACUCCUACGGGAGGCAGCAGUAGGGAAUAUUCCGCAAUGGGCGAAAGCCUGACGCAGCAACGCCGCGUGUGUGAUGAAGGUCUUCGGAUCGUAAAACUCUGUUAUUGGGGAAGAACAUAUGUAUAAGAAACCGUGCACUUCUUGACGGUACCUAAUCAGAAAGCCACGGCUAACUACGUG
rnacentral:rRNA from 1 species